GACGAACGCUGGCGGCGCGCCUAACACAUGCAAGUCGAACGGAGCUGAGAGAAGCUUGCUUUUCUUAGCUUAGUGGCGAACGGGUGAGUAACGCGUGAGUAACCUGCCCUGGAGUGGGGGACAACAGUUGGAAACGACUGCUAAUACCGCAUAAGCCCACGAUCCGGCAUCGGAUUGAGGGAAAAGGAUUUAUUCGCUUCAGGAUGGACUCGCGUCCAAUUAGCUAGUUGGUGAGGUAACGGCCCACCAAGGCGACGAUUGGUAGCCGGACUGAGAGGUUGAACGGCCACAUUGGGACUGAGACACGGCCCAGACUCCUACGGGAGGCAGCAGUGGGGGAUAUUGCACAAUGGGGGAAACCCUGAUGCAGCGACGCCGCGUGGAGGAAGAAGGUUUUCGGAUUGUAAACUCCUGUCGGUAGGGACGAUAAGGACGGGACCUAACAAGAAAGCACCGGCUAACUACGU
rnacentral:rRNA from 1 species